rnacentral:rRNA from 1 species
UCCGUAGGUGAACCUGCGGAAGGAUCAUUAUCGAGUUUUGACUGGGUUGUAGCUGGCCUUCCGAGGCAUGUGCACGCCCUGCUCAUCCACUCUACACCUGUGCACUUACUGUGGGCUUCAGAUCGUAAAACGGGUCCCUUUACCGGGCCUGCGGAGCGUGUCUGUGCCUGCGUUUAUCACAAACUCUAUAAAGUAUCAGAAUGUGUAUUGCGAUGUAACGCAUCUAUAUACAACUUUCAGCAACGGAUCUCUUGGCUCUCGCAUCGAUGAAGAACGCAGCGAAAUGCGAUAAGUAAUGUGAAUUGCAGAAUUCAGUGAAUCAUCGAAUCUUUGAACGCACCUUGCGCUCCUUGGUAUUCCGAGGAGCAUGCCUGUUUGAGUGUCAUGAAAUCUUCAACCUACAAGCUUUUGUGGUUUGUAGGCUUGGACUUGGAGGCUUGUCGGCCGUUCUUGGUCGGCUCCUCUUAAAUGCAUUAGCUUGGUUCCUUGCGGAUCGGCUCUCGGUGUGAUAAUGUCUACGCUGCGACCGUGAAGCGUUUGGCGAGCUUCUAACCGUCUCAGUUGGAGACAGCUUUAUGACCUCUGACCUCAAAUCAGGUAGGACUACCCGCUGAACUUAAGCAUAUCAAUAAGCGGAGGA